rnacentral:rRNA from 1 species
AACGAACGCUGGCGGCAUGCCUAACACAUGCAAGUCGAACGAGAUCUUCGGAUCUAGUGGCGCACGGGUGCGUAACGCGUGGGAAUCUGCCCUUGGGUUCGGAAUAACAGUUAGAAAUGACUGCUAAUACCGGAUGAUGACGUAAGUCCAAAGAUUUAUCGCCCAAGGAUGAGCCCGCGUAGGAUUAGCUAGUUGGUGGGGUAAAGGCCCACCAAGGCGACGAUCCUUAGCUGGUCUGAGAGGAUGAUCAGCCGCACUGGGACUGAGACACGGCCCAGACUCCUACGGGAGGCAGCAGUGGGGAAUAUUGGACAAUGGGCGAAAGCCUGAUCCAGCAAUGCCGCGUGAGUGAUGAAGGCCUUAGGGUUGUAAAGCUCUUUUACCCGGGAUGAUAAUGACAGUACCGGGAGAAUAAGCCCCGGCUAACUCCGUGCCAGCAGCCGCCGUAA